GGCGCGAUGGCCGAGUGGUUAAGGCGACAGAUUAGAAUAUCCUGGCUGGAAUGAGAAUAAUCUGUUCCACUUGUUGGGCGCAGGUUCAAAUCCUGCUCGCGUCG